AACCCCCCUCAAGCUCUGCUUGGUGUUGGGCGUUUGUCCUGCCUUUUUGGCAAGGACUCGCCUUAAAUUAGUUGGCAGCCGUCACCCUGGCUUCGAGCGCAGCACAUUUGCGCUCGCUUUCUAGUGGCGGUUUCCCAAAAGCCCAUUUUUU
rnacentral:misc_RNA from 1 species